AGCGGAGGAAAAGAAAAUAACAAUGAUUCCCUCAGUAACGGCGAGCGANGAGGGAUAAGCUCAANUUUUAAUCUGUUGGGUUCCACUUAACAGAGUUGUAUUUUGAAGAAACGUUUUCUGCGUCCAGGAUUAGCCUAAAUCCUUUGGGAUAAGGUAUCAUGGAGGGUGAGAAUCCCGUUCAUGGUUAAUCUUAAGGAAGCUCUACGAUACGUUUUCCAAGAGUCGAGUUGUUUGGGAUUGCAGCUCAAAAUGGGAGGUAAAUUUCUCCUAAGGCUAAAUAUUGGCGAGAGACCGAUAGCGAACAAGUACCGUGAGGGAAAGAUGAAAAGAACUUUGAAAAGAGAGUUAAACAGUACGUGAAAUUGUUGAAAGGGAAACGAUUGAAGUCAGUCAUACCAACGGGAAAUCAACCUUUUGAGCUCGGUCUCGUGGGUUUUGAAGAGUUUCAAAGCCUUCGGAUUCGCGGGAUUGGGAUCUCUYGGUGUACUUUUUCGUACGGUUAGUCAACAUCGGUUUUGAAUGUCAUAAAAUGACUGGAGGAAUGUAGCUUCGAUCUCGUAUUGAAGUGUUAUAGCCUUUGGUAGAUGUGAUGUUUGAGACCGAGGAUUGCAACGGAUACCCUUCAGGGCUAUUCGUCUGAUCUCUGAUACGUUGCCUUGAUGUUGAAAGCUUGCUUAUGAUGUUAGGGUAUUACGGUCAAAAGGUUAGAACGAAUUACAUUCGUUAAGGAUGUUGACGUAAUGACUUUAAACGACCCGUCUUG
rnacentral:rRNA from 1 species